rnacentral:sRNA from 1 species
GAUAACUCUACGAAUUGCAUCUCAAGAAAAGGCUGUUAUCCCAGCUCUCUACUCCCAUUGGAUUUUUGAGAGCCCUUGAGGGUGGGAGCUUUUGGCGGCAACCAAUCGAGGGUCAGCGAGGAGGAGGAGGAGGCGGGGCAGGUGGGCUAUGGUUGCCUGGAGAGUGCAUUCGUCCCGGUACUUGUGAUCGGAGGAGAGCCGGGUCGUCUUUCCUUGAACCCGCUGGGUAGGGCUGUGCUGAGCGGUUGGGCGGGGAGCACAGGCCGUGUCCGCUCGCUUGCACCUUUUCAGACUGCCGUGUCGGGCCUCGAGCCGGGCCCACCUGGAGCCCUCCCCUGCCCACCCGCCCCCGGCGCCCGAUAUCCGCCCCCAGCCCAGAGGGCCGGGCUCGGUCAUCCCCAGCCCCGUCGCGGCCACUGACCCUUGAGAUCAGCCCUCCCCACCUUCCCGUCCCAGGCCAGCCCAGGGCCCGAAGCCCACCCACCCGCCUCUCUAGCAGCCGCUCUUGUCCUCUGGGUACGGCUCGCGGGAGUGUUGGUUACCAUGGUGAAGCUGGCAGCCAAAUGCAUCCUGGCAGAUACUCACCGAGCACCUACUACGUCAGAGUCACCGUGCAAGAUGCAGUGGGCCUGCAAGCAUGAAUCAGUUGCACUCAAGGAAGAACUAAGUUCUAACACAGUGAACAUAAAGCAAAUGCCCUUUGUGUGCCAAAUGCGGGGAAAUGCCUCCAGGCACAGCUGCUACUUGUUCUGUUUCUGGAGAAGAAAGAAAACAACAUUUGACAUUGAUCUGUAUUUGGUUUACCUUUUAAAAAAUACUUAAAUAGUACUUAUAUAUGCCAGGCACUGUACAUAUUAACUCAUUAAAUCCUCAUAACAAUUC